rnacentral:lncRNA from 1 species
GCAGUUGGGUGGUCCCGGUGCCAAGGCCCACAGGGACUCCGCAGCUAUCACCUGCGUGCUUGCCCGUCAGCCAAUCGUGGGCCCCCUGACUGCGGCACCCUUUGACCCCGGGCCUUCAGGAAUCCAGUCCCGCUCAGCCCAGCAGCCCGGCUCCGCGCCGGUCCCCGCCUCUAGUUGGUAUGGAAACCCACAGUUCGAUGGUAAAUACGUACACUGGAACCAUCCAGUCCUGGAACACUGGGACCCUAGAAUAGCCAAGAACUAUCCACAAGGAAG